GACGAACGCUGGCGGCGUGCCUAAUACAUGCAAGUCGAGCGCAGGAAACUGACGGAACUCUUCGGAGGGAAGGCAGUGGAAUGAGCGGCGGACGGGUGAGUAACACGUAAGGAACCUGCCUCAAGGAUUGGGAUAACUCCGAGAAAUCGGAGCUAAUACCGGAUAGUUCAACGGACCGCAUGGUCCGUUGAUGAAAGGCGCUCCGGCGUCACCUUGAGAUGGCCUUGCGGUGCAUUAGCUAGUUGGUGGGGUAACGGCCCACCAAGGCGACGAUGCAUGGCCGACCUGGGAGGGUGAUCGGCCACACUGGGACUGAGACACGGCCCAGACUCCUACGGGAGGCAGCAGUAGGGAAUCUUCCACAAUGGACGAAAGUCUGAUGGAGCAACGCCGCGUGAGUGAUGAAGGUUUUCGGAUCGUAAAACUCUGUUGUAAGGGAAGAACACGUACGAGAGGGAAUGCUCGUACCUUGACGGUACCUUACGAGAAAGUCACGGCUAACUACGUGCCAGCCGCCGCCGUAAUAC
rnacentral:rRNA from 1 species